rnacentral:rRNA from 1 species
AAAUAGCCCUCAGCCUUAUGUGGCGAUCGGGACUAAUGAUAUCACCUCGCCUGCAAUGGCCGGGGUUGGCCCACGUAACCUGCUUAGGAUGCUGGUGUAAUGGCUUCAAACGACCCGUCUUGCUACACGGACCAAGCAGUCCAUCAUGCCUCCGAGUGUUUGGGUGGUUAAACCCCGGACGCGCAAUGAAAAAGAGAAGUCAGGACCUCUGUUUUGGAGGGCACCGACGCCCGGCCCAGACCUUUUAUUGUGACGGAUCCGAGGUAGAGCAUGUCUGCUGGGACCCGAAAGAUGGUGAACUAUGCUUGAGUAGGGCGAAGCCAGAGGAAACUCUGGUGGAGGCUCGUAGCGGUUCUGACGUGCAAAUCGAUCGUCGAA